rnacentral:lncRNA from 1 species
UAAUCUAAAUUUUUUUUGAGCAAUAUUGCGGAUACACUCUAAAGUGGGAUAUAUAUUUUAUAUUUACUCUAUUCCAAGAUCAUUAAUACUUUACUUAUUAUAUCAACUUUUUUUAUUUUCACUAAAAAUAAUUUAAAUUUUUAUUAAUUCUGAGAUAGUGGAUGUAAGAUCUAUACUCUUUUUUUUUGGGUGUAUACAAAAUAUUUUUCAUCUUUUUAUUAG